GCGGCCGCGAAGGUCCCGUCGCCGUUCAGGUACGGUCACCGCGGUCCGGAGGCCUGGGCGGGGGGUUCGGAGGUGCGUGGCCGCCUCGCCGGUGCCCGCGGGAGGAGCAUGCGGCGGCGCCAUGAGCGAGCAGUGGGACGUCGGCCGGGCCCUGGCCCUCUCCGGCCUCUUCCGUCUCCUGCAGGGCGCGGGCAGGGCCUGCGCGGCCCCGUUCCUCACGCUGUACCUCCGGCACCUGGGGCUGCCGGCCGCGCUGGUGGGCGGCGUGGCCGGAGCCAAGCACCUGGCCGCAGCUCUCUGGGCUCCCUUCUGCUCCCGCUGCCCCAAGGGCCGCAGGAAGCGGCGCCUUCUGAUUGCCAGCUCCUUGCUGGGCUCGGCGGGGGCCAGCCUGCUGCUCACCCUCAUCCCACCCGCCGACGGGCGUGCGGGGUACAAGUACUGUAACGCCAGCCAGCAGUCGGGGGACCGGGCAGCCACCACCGUGGUGCCCGCUCUGGGCACAAGCAACUACAGUGUUCUAAGCAUGAGUGCUAUUACAAGCGCAAAAGCUGUGUCAAAAGAAACGAUGAAGACAACUGCUGAUGUUUUGAUAGCGAGCGGAAAGCCAACACUAACCAGUUCAGCCUUCCAGGGAUUAUUUGGCCUGACAGAUACGCUUGAGAAAAAAGGCAGGGGGGUUGGGGAAGCUGAUAUAAAGACAGAUGGCUACUUGGAUGGUCCCUCUGGCUGGACAACUUCUGUGAAAGCAGUUAACUGGGAAUCAGGAGAACCAGAAAUGCUGGCUUCCUACAGACCUCCCUUACAUGGACGUGGACUAGAGAAGGAAAUGAGCAGUCUGGGUUCCGCUCCAAUAGGUCUUGCUGAUAAUGCUGAAGAAAGCCUUUACGGUACUGAAAGUAACGAGCUCUCUUUGUCUAAAACAACUCUUCCUACUGUUGGAGGUGCUUACGUGUCUGGAAGCCUUUCAGACCACCAGAAGGAUGCUCAAGAUGAUGGCCUUGAGGCAGUGCAAAACAUCUUUCAGGACAGAGAGCUUCAGAUUUUUCUUAUGGUACUGGGUGCUGUCGUGCUUUGGGAGCUGUUGGCUACUUCUCUCGAAUGGACAGUGGAUGAGAGUCUCUAUGAAUAUCUUGACUUCAUUGACGCGACUGAUAGGUAUGGCAAGCUGUGGAUUUGGAGUUACCUGGGUGCAUCUGCAGGCGCCUGCAGCAUUGCCAUAUUCGUGGAUCAACUGAAUUGCUUCCUCAGCAGUACAAUCACCCGCCUCGCUGUCCAUUUCUAUGGUUAUGCUCUCCUGAUAAUGCUCUCGUUGCUUGUCAGUGUCUUUUUUCCCAUCCACGUUCCCAAGAAAACUGACCGUGUUAACAAAACCGCCAAAGCCCUGGCCCUGCUGUGGAGCGACGGCCGAGCGAUCCUGUACGCCUUCACCGUGUUCCUCACCGGCGUGGCUGGGUCUGCGGUGCACAACUUUCUCUUCUGGCAGAUGCAGGACCGAGGCAGCAGUGAGCUGUACAUGGGGCUCUCUGUGGCUGUUGGGCUACUUGCUGAAAUUUUGCUUUAUUUCUUCAAAGGGAAGUUGCUGCGGACUUUCUCAAGCGGCACAAUCGUUGCAGUUAGCCUGAGCCUCCUGGCAGUGCAGCUUCUGUGCUACUCCUUCUUGUGGACUGUGUGGGCCUGCUAAAUCCAGAAGGAUCCUCAGACUGUUUUAUCUGCCUUGGCUUAACCUCAAAACCACAGAUUUCAACACCUCUUCGAUAGGAACAGGCUCUGAGGUCCUCGGGACCACACUCCUUUCUCAACAAGUGGCAAAUUAAAAUACUCAGCUUCCUUCUGUCAUCAAGAUGCGCUUAAGUGAGUUGGCAGCAAAGGGCCCUGUGAGCAUCACCUUGGGAGCGUUUUUGAAGACUCAGGAUUUGUUGAAUGUGCCUCAGCGGUGUCUGUUUGCUGUUGCCUGCUCAGGUUGUUUCUUUGAAGAGCUUCAAAUGAUCAUGUCCUUCCUAAUGUUCUCCAAGCUGCAUUUUAAUUCUUAUUGUAUUUGUCAGCAACUUUCAAGUACCUGGGAGAUUGUGUUACUGUUGCUUGGUAUUAGAUAAUGUUCUGGUUAUAAGCUAUAAUGUAUGUGUAUUUUCUAUUGUGUAGGCGCUUGAUUCCUACAGAAGUGACUGUAUACAGGGAAAUAGGAGCGAUUUUAAGAAAUAUUCUGCUAGUGCCCUGAAAGUGUUGCUGCUAGUGACUCUCCUCUCAGGCAGACCAAUGUGCAAGUCACCUCAAGACCCACUGAAACUUCUCAGCCCUGGAUUCGAGGACACAGAGCGUGCCUGGGUGAAGGAGGAACCACAGGGUUUGCCUGUCAGGCAGUUUGCGUGGGGCACACCAACUGUUUCUGUACCCUGGGGUGCACUUGAUUUGCAUUUAUCUCUGCAACAUGGAUUUGAACAUAAUGAUUAUGUUCAAUACGGCAGACCAAACAGCGUGCGUUAAUUGGAUCAUAACUCAGUGACUGGACUGCUUGAUUUAAUCUCAUGUUUUUAUAAAGUCUAAAGCGGGCAUAUAGAAUGUGUUGAAUUCAAGUUGCAGCCCGCAGCAGAUCUGGAUACUCAUGGUGAGAGUAAUCCUGUAGGGUAUUCGACUGAAGAACUGAUUAAAAUAUUUACAUGUUGAUUUUCUCUGCAUUGUG